CUGACGAGUGGCGGACGGGUGAGUAAUGUCUGGGAAACUGCCUGAUGGAGGGGGAUAACUACUGGAAACGGUGGCUAAUACCGCAUAACGUCGCAAGACCAAAGAGGGGGACCUUCGGGCCUCUUGCCAUCAGAUGUGCCCAGAUGGGAUUAGCUUGUUGGUGAGGUAACGGCUCACCAAGGCGACGAUCCCUAGCUGGUCUGAGAGGAUGACCAGCCACACUGGAACUGAGACACGGUCCAGACUCCUACGGGAGGCAGCAGUGGGGAAUAUUGCACAAUGGGCGCAAGCCUGAUGCAGCCAUGCCGCGUGUAUGAAGAAGGCCUUCGGGUUGUAAAGUACUUUCAGCGGGGAGGAAGGUGUUGUGGUUAAUAACCACAGCAAUUGACGUUACCCGCAGAAGAAGCACCGGCUAACUCCGUGCCAGCAGCCGCGGUAAUACGGAGGGUGCAAGCGUUAAUCGGAAUUACUGGGCGUAAAGCGCACGCAGGCGGUCUGUCAAGUCGGAUGUGAAAUCCCCGGGCUCAACCUGGGAACUGCAUUCGAAACUGGCAGGCUUGAGUCUUGUAGAGGGGGGUAGAAUUCCAGGUGUAGCGGUGAAAUGCGUAGAGAUCUGGAGGAAUACCGGUGGCGAAGGCGGCCCCCUGGACAAAGACUGACGCUCAGGUGCGAAAGCGUGGGGAGCAAACAGGAUUAGAUACCCUGGUAGUCCACGCCGUAAACGAUGUCUACUUGGAGGUUGUGCCCUUGAGGCGUGGCUUCCGGAGCUAACGCGUUAAGUAGACCGCCUGGGGAGUACGGCCGCAAGGUUAAAACUCAAAUGAAUUGACGGGGGCCCGCACAAGCGGUGGAGCAUGUGGUUUAAUUCGAUGCAACGCGAAGAACCUUACCUGGUCUUGACAUCCACAGAACUUUCCAGAGAUGGAUUGGUGCCUUCGGGAACUGUGAGACAGGUGCUGCAUGGCUGUCGUCAGCUCGUGUUGUGAAAUGUUGGGUUAAGUCCCGCAACGAGCGCAAC
rnacentral:rRNA from 1 species